GGGGUAACCAGGAAAAGCUUGCUUUUGCUGACGACCGGCGCACGGGUGCGUAACGCGUAUGCAACCUACCUCAUACUGGAGGAUAGCCCCUGGAAACGGGGAUUAAUACUCCAUAGUAUCACAAUUUCGCAUGUUAUUGUGAUUAAAGUUUUUCGGUAUGAGAUGGGCAUGCGUCCCAUUAGCUUGUUGGUGAGGUAACGGCUCACCAAGGCAACGAUGGGUAGGGGGCCUGAGAGGGUGGUCCCCCACACUGGUACUGAGACACGGACCAGACUCCUACGGGAGGCAGCAGUGAGGAAUAUUGGUCAAUGGAGGAAACUCUGAACCAGCCAUGCCGCGUGAAGGAUGACGGCCCUAUGGGUUGUAAACUUCUUUUAUAGAGGAAGAAACUUGUCUACGUGUAGACAACUGACGGUACUCUACGAAUAAGGAUCGGCUAACUCCGUGCCAGCAGCCGCGGUAAUACGGAGGAUCCAAGCGUUAUCCGGAUUCAUUGGGUUUAAAGGGUCCGUAGGCGGAUUUUUAAGUCAGUGGUGAAAGCCGACAGCUCAACUGUCGAACUGCCAUUGAUACUGGAAAUCUUGAGUACAAAUGAAGCAGGCGGAAUGAGUCAUGUAGCGGUGAAAUGCAUAGAUAUGACUCAGAACACCGAUUGCGAAGGCAGCUUACUAACAUGUAACUGACGCUGAGGGACGAAAGCGUGGGGAGCGAACAGGAUUAGAUACCCUGGUAGUCCACGCCGUAAACGAUCAUCACUCGCUGUUGGCGAUAUACUGUCAGCGGCCAAGCGAAAGUAUUAAGUGAUGCACCUGGG
rnacentral:rRNA from 1 species